rnacentral:rRNA from 1 species
GCAGUGGGGAAUUUUCCGCAAUGGGCGAAAGCCUGACGGAGCAAUACCGCGUGAGGGAAGACGGCCUAUGGGUUGUAAACCUCUUUUUUCAGGGAGGAACAAAAUGACGUGUACCUGAAGAAUAAGCAUCGGCUAACUCCGUGCCAGCAGCCGCGGUAAGACGGAGGAUGCAAGUGUUAUCCGGAAUUACUGGGCGUAAAGCGUCUGUAGGUGGUUUGGUAAGUCAACUGUUAAAUCUUGAGGCUCAACUUCAAAACAGCAGUCGAAACUAUCAGACUAGAGUAUAGUAGGGGUAAAGGGAAUUUCCAGUGGAGCGGUGAAAUGCGUAGAUAUUGGAAAGAACAC